AGAUUGAACGCUGGCGGCAUGCCUUACACAUGCAAGUCGAACGGCAGCACGGGAGCAAUCCUGGUGGCGAGUGGCGAACGGGUGAGUAAUACAUCGGAACGUGCCCAGUAGUGGGGGAUAGCCCGGCGAAAGCCGGAUUAAUACCGCAUACGACCUACGGGUGAAAGCGGGGGAUCGCAAGACCUUGCGCUAUUGGAGCGGCCGAUGUCAGAUUAGCUAGUUGGUGGGGUAAAAGCCUACCAAGGCGACGAUCUGUAGCUGGUCUGAGAGGACGACCAGCCACACUGGGACUGAGACACGGCCCAGACUCCUACGGGAGCAGCAGUGGGAAUUUGG
rnacentral:rRNA from 1 species